UGGUAUUUUCUGAUCUGGCUACAUUUUCUGUAACACUAUUAAUUGAUAGUGUUGAUUAAGAUGAUCUGGCUGGCUAGGCAGGUGUCCUCUUCCUCAACUCUCAAUGUGCAUCCCUCCAAAAGCUGCACAUUUGACCAAAUAGGAUGACCUAUCCCAAAUAAAGAAGGACCUGUCUUCAGUUAAGGGCAUAUGAAUAGUUGAUCUCCUGCUGGAAAUCCAAACAAGCUCUUCAAUUUUGGAAAUUACAAAUAAAACUGCUAUAUAGACAUCAUUAUAGGACUUUUAUGUGGACUUAAGUUUUAGUUU
rnacentral:snRNA from 1 species